rnacentral:lncRNA from 1 species
AUGAAAGGGUUCGGGAGCCUGAACGGCCUGCCAUGGGCCUUUGCUUUCCGACGCGUCUCGGUCGCCCCCAGCUCACGAGAGCCCCCCUGUGGGGAGCUUCUGCCCCCCAACGGCUUCCUGGACCCCACUUUCGGAAGCACGCAGGACGACCUGAGCACCGUGCCCAAAAGCCCCUCGUCGUACGCCCGGUCGUGCGACAUGUACAGCCACACGGGCACCUUGCCCAGAAGGAGUUCUCAGCAAGCCAAGAAGAAGCCCGAAGCGGGGCCGGAAGGGGGGGCUCACGGGGUUCCCUUGCCCCCAGCCGGCCCGGACCUCUGUGGGGUCUCUGGGGCACCUCUCUCCAAAAAGGAGCAAAAGAAGAAAAAGUGGGCCAACCGCAGCGUAGCCUCCUCCCAAACUCCGGACCCUACUGUGCGGAAAUCCUUGCCCACAGAUUCAAGGGGAUCCUCUGUGGGGCCCAAACAGAAACCAAAUAGGGAUCAACUGGAUCCUCUUCUGACACCUAGGAAGCCCACCCUUGUGAGCACGGCGGACGACCUGAGCGUCAUGCCCAAAAGCCCCUCUUCGUACGCCCGGUCGUGCGACAUGUACAGCCACACGGGGACCUUGCCCAGAAGGAGUUCUCAGCCAGCAAAGAAGAAGCCGAAGGCGGAAGCCGAAGUGGGGCUGGAAGGGGGGGCUCAUGGGGCUCCCUCGCCCCCAGCCGGCCCGGACCCCUGUGGGGUCUCUGCGGCAUCCAUUUCCCCCAAAGACACUUCCUCUGACAACGAGGAGGAAAAGCAGAAAAUGAGAAAGUGGCCCCCAGGGGAUGCCGACCACAGCCUAGACUCCUCCCAAACUCCGGACCCCACAGUGGGGAAAUCCGCCUCUGAAAGGGGCCCUGAGGCAAGGAGAGUCUCCGUGGGGCCCAAAGAGAAAACAAAUAGGGAUCAACUGGAUCCUCUUCUGACACCUAGGAAGCCCACCCUUGUGAGCACGGCGGACGACCUGAGCGUCAUGCCCAAAAGCCCCUCUUCGUACGCCCGGUCUGGUGACAUGUAUAGCCACACGGGGACCAUGCCGAGGGCCCGAUCCAGCCAGCGAAGGGAACGGGCCGAGGAGAAAGUGAGGAAGCCUCAGCAGGAUCCGGUGCUCUGCUCUGGGGAAAGAAACCAGGGCCACAACUGCAUGCAAGCGUUCAAAGCACCCGCAGAACUCGGCGGGCGGGCGGCUGGGGAGGACCCCCCUCACAAGCAGGGAGACGGGAGGUAA